rnacentral:rRNA from 1 species
GACGGACGCUGGCGGCGUGCUUAACACAUGCAAGUCGAGCGGUAAGGCCCUUUCGGGGGUACGACGAGCGGCGAACGGGUGAGUAGCACGUGGGUGACCUGCCCUUAGCUCUGGGAUAAGCCUGGGAAACUGGGUCUAAUACCGGAUAUGACUCCAUAACGCAUGUUGUGGGGUGGAAAGCCUUGUGCGGCUAGGGAUGGGCCCGCGGCCUAUCAGCUUGUUGGUGGGGUGAUGGCCUACCAAGGCGACGACGGGUAGCCGGCCUGAGAGGGCGACCGGCCACACUGGGACUGAGACACGGCCCAGACUCCUACGGGAGGCAGCAGUGGGGAAUCUUGCGCAAUGGGCGAAAGCCUGACGCAGCGACGCCGCGUGGGGA